rnacentral:lncRNA from 1 species
UUGGGAAAUUCAGAGCCUCCAAUACUUGUUGUAGGAAACACCAUUCAACUGAAUCAUAGGCCUUCUGGAGAUCAAUCUUGACCAUACAUCUAGGUGAUAUAUGAGAUCUUGUAUAGUGCUUGAUGAGCUCAUGCGCCAAAAUGACAUUAUCAGCAAUUCUUCUCCCUGGGAUGAAACCUGCUUGUGCAUUGCAUAUGAUGCUGGC